UUGGGUACUGCCGGAAGGACAUUACUGAUUUGCUUAAUUGCACCACAUGUGUUUUUUAUUGAACAAAUUUCUUUCGGUGGCGGGAGCAAUCCUACCGCCAGAGGUUAUAACUAAACCAAACUUUUUAUUUACAGUCAAACUUGAUUUAUUAUUACAAUAGUCAAAACUUUCAACAACGGAUCUCUUGGUUCUCGCAUCGAUGAAGAACGCAGCGAAAUGCGAUACGUAAUAUGAAUUGCAGAUAUUCGUGAAUCAUCGAAUCUUUGAACGCACAUUGCGCCCUUUGGUAUUCCAAAGGGCAUGCCUGUUUGAGCGUCAUUUCUCCCUCAAACCCCCGGGUUUGGUGUUGAGCAAUACGCUAGGUUUGUUUGAAAGAAUUUAACGUGGAAACUUAUUUUAAGCGACUUAGGUUUAUCCAAAAACGCUUAUUUUGCUAGUGGCCACCACAAUUUAUUUCAUAACUUUGACCUCAAAUCAGGUAGGACUACCCGCUGAACUUAAGCAUAUCAAUAAGCGGAGGAA
rnacentral:rRNA from 1 species